AUUGAACGCUGGCGGAAUGCUUUACACAUGCAAGUCGAGCGGCAGCGCGGGGCAACCUGGCGGCGAGCGGCGAACGGGUGAGUAACACAUCGGAACGUACCCAGUCGUGGGGGAUAACGUGGCGAAAGUCACGCUAAUACCGCAUACGUCCUGAGGGAGAAAGACGGGGGAGUCGCAAGACCUCGCGCGAUUGGAGCGGCCGAUGACUGAUUAGCUAGUUGGUGGGGUAAAGGCCUACCAAGGCGACGAUCAGUAGCUGGUCUGAGAGGACGACCAGCCACACUGGGACUGAGACACGGCCCAGACUCCUACGGGAGGCAGCAGUGGGGAAUUUUGGACAAUGGGGGAAACCCGUGAUCCAGCCAUUCCGCGUGAGUGAAGAAGG
rnacentral:rRNA from 1 species